rnacentral:pre_miRNA from 1 species
CUGCUACUCCCUCCGUCCCAAAAUAAGUGUCUCAAGCUUAGUACAACUUUGUACUAGAGUUAGUACAAAGUUGAGACACUUAUUUUGGGACGGAGGGAGUAUUAU